GAAAGCAAACUGCCUGUGAGGAUAAUCAGGAGUCAGAAACAAAACAGUCCCACCAAGAAGAAAGCACAGUGCCCGUAAAAUUCCUGCUGUGAGUUGGAGGAUGAUCCUGUGCAGCUCUUCUGCUUUCUGGUCUGUGGCCACGCCUCUUCCUGCCCCACUCACUCCACCGUCCACCUGAGGCCUACACAGAACUCUGCAGUGGCUGCAUCCUCCCUGUGGUCACCUCCCCACUUUGUCUGCGGUGCUCAUUCCCACACCUCCUUCACAGAGCUGCCUAACUGUGCCUCCGUCUGCAGACCCGCCCUGACUGAAGUUGCACUCUUGGCUCCCUGCACCACCAGCAUCACCACCAAACCUAACAGGCAGAAAUCCAGCACUUCUUAGAAGCCAGUUUCUCUUUGGGAUCUCUGAUGUCCCUCUUGUUACUGCGUCCCCUUCAUCCCCUACAGACCUACAUUAGAAGAGGAGGAGGGGAGGGAGACAACCAGAAAGACACUUAAGGGGCAAGUAAUUUCUCCAAGAAAAAUGGAGGACCAGUGUUAUUUCUGCUCAUUAGGAAGCCCCACGAGAGGCAACACUGCAGUGUUUCCUGACAGGACGACUGUCCUUGGAAGCCCUGCAUGCCUGGCCCUAAGGAAGCCUACUUUGGAGCACUGCAAGGAAGGAAUGGAAAGCAGGCCCUCUGCCUUCUCAAGAAACCUCUACAAAGGGAAACAGUGCAGCGAGGCCCCCGCCACUACCAGGGACAGUCACAGGGGCAGCAUUUGUGACAUCUAAGUGUGAGCAGAGAUGUGGUAAAAAGAACUGUAAAAGAGGAACAGUUAAUGCUUAAUUUUUUGGGAUCAAUUUUGCAUGCCUAUA